rnacentral:lncRNA from 1 species
GAGAAAAGCUUUCUUUCAAACUCCUCUCAAAGCUCAUGUACCUCGAGGGUUUUUUUCAUCUGCUUCAGGUCACUUCCCAGUGCCUUCAAAUAAUUAUUGUUUCAAUUUUGUCUGAAGUUCAGCAGCAGGAAGACUAGUGAAACAAAAUUUCUCUGGAAGCUGGACGUCCUGGGCCAAGUUUAUUUAACCUGAAGUGGUGCCAGGUGAGACUUCGUCAGCACUGGGGUGGAUUAUGCAAUCCCAGGGCAAUGCCCAGAACAGCACAGCUUCAGAACUGACCCAAAGAAGACUUUGCCAGGUCUUUUCUUCCAGCUCCUCGUUGUUCUCUUCUCAAUGCCCAGUGCUGGGAAAGGACUAGCGCGUUCCCCAGGAAAUGAGGAACGGGGAAAGAUGUGUUGUAUGUAAAGGAAGCAAAACCUUCAAAGACACAGAUCCUAAAACAUAUCCCCAGUUGACGCUGCUCAAAGCUCCCAGACGUCCCAAGAACAAGACGAGGUACCUGGGUACACCAGCACCACAAGGGACCCACAGGCUUGUCGCGCGGCAAUAGCUGACUGUCACGAGCAGCGUCCCUGGGAAUCCGUUGCGGCACCAGAGAAAGAUGAUGCAGAAGAAGAGCGUAACAAAAAGUCCGGAACCCAAGCUGCCACCCGUCCAAACCUCCCGACAGAAAGGCGGGGAUAUUCACGCGUGUCCGUGGCCCGAGUGCGGCCGUGCAACCUUACAGGCUGGCCCUACUCAAGCUCUCGGCUCUAACUACCAAUAACCAGAGCUGCCACUUACUGGGCCUCUGAUGUGGGCUCAGACUACAGCGAACCCCGUAAAUACUUCGGGAGAAUGCCUUCUGGGGAGACCAGGACGGCUGGCUCGGUGCUCAGCCUGACGAGGGCGUGGGUGCAGGCCGCGUCCCCUCCCCGCUUGCGCCCUGGGGGCUGAGCACGUCUGAGUGCCCCCCACGACUCCAGGCUGUGCAGGGGCUCAACAGGUGCCACUUUCCCUCCUUGUCAUUCACCAGCCUGACCCUUUCCCGGGAAGAGGCAGCAAAAAUGAAGCCAUAAACAGGAAGCCUCGCUGUGAGGUCAGCCAUCCACGGCCCCGGGGUCAGGGACAAGGUUGUGCCAGGCCACU